UACGUAGGGGGCAAGCGUUAUCCGGAUUUACUGGGUGUAAAGGGAGCGUAGACGGUGCAGCAAGUCUGAUGUGAAAGGUCGGGGCCCAACCCCGGGAGUGCAUUUGAAACUGUCUGGCUAGAGUGCAGGAGAGGUAAGUGGAAUUCCUAGUGUAGCGGUGAAAUGCAUAGAUAUUAGGAGGAACACCAGUGGCGAAGGCGGCUUACUGGUCUGUAACUGACGCUGAGGUUCGAAAGCGUGGGUAGCAAACAGG
rnacentral:rRNA from 1 species